rnacentral:rRNA from 1 species
UACGAAGGGGGCUAGCGUUGCUCGGAAUCACUGGGUGUAAAGCGCACGUAGGCGGAUUUGUCAGUCAGGGGUGAAAUCCCGGGGCUCAACCUCGGAACUGCCUUUGAUACAGCAAGUCUUGAGUUCGAGAGAGGUGGGUGGAAUUCCUAGUGUAGAGGUGAAAUUCGUAGAUAUUAGGAAGAACACCGGUGGCGAAGGCGGCCCACUGGCUCGAUACUGACGCUGAGGUGCGAAAGCGUGGGGAGCAAACAGG